rnacentral:rRNA from 1 species
AAUUAUUUUUUUAGAUUCUUUUUUAUUGUUGAAAAAAUUAAAAACAAAUUGUUUUUUACAAUAAUUAAAAUUUAUAAUAUUUCAAUUUUUAAUUUUUAGUUUUAAAUAAAAAUUACAAAUAUGAAAAAUAAAAAAUUUUUGUUAUAAAUUAAAUUAAUUUAUUUAUAUUAAAAAUAUUUUUUAUAAUUUUUAUUUUUUUUAUUUUUUUAAAAAAAAAAUAAUUUAAUUAUAAUUAUUUAUUUAAAUUUAAUAAUUAAAUAUAAAAUUUUUUAUUAAAUAAAUUUAAUAAUAAAUGUUUUUUAAAUUCUUUGAGGUUUUGAUUUUUGAUUUUUUGUUUCUGCUCAUUGUUAAAGAAAAGCACUUUUAGCGUGAUUGGUCAAAGGUA